CUCACUUUCAAUGCAAAUGGCGGCAAGUUGCAUCGGACGCAGACAUGUCGUCUCCCAAGAAUGUUGGAUUGUUUCAUGUGUGAACCAUUGACUUGCCUUUGCAUGUGUUUGUGAUGAAUGCCACCGGUGAUGCAGGUUACGCUCACCAUUUUGCAAACACCUGAUAACAUCGGUAGAUGGUUGUGCCAACAAGAAAACCUGUAUUGAAGUCAUGAGUCUAAAAACGAUGUGGAUUUAAAAACCCAAAUAAAUUCAUA